UUUCCAAUUAUGUAUUAAGAAAAACAAAACUUAAACUUUCGGAUCUCGGAACGGAAUUGUGUUUAUUUUGAGUCUGUGUCAAGUUCGGGUGCAAAAUUUGAGACUCAAACAUAACACAUGGAGUGGAUUUGUAAUAAUAUAUAUUUUCAAUAAAUUUCCUUCAAAACGCACAUUUCGAUUAAUCGGCAAAUAUUAAAUAUCAAAAAUCAAGUCACCCGAGAAAACAUCUGAACAUAGAAACUUCAAAUUAACUUUAAAACAUUUUGUAAAUAUCACAUACUAAAUUAAUUAAUAUUGUUAUGGGCGAUUCUGAAGCUGAUGUAAGAAGGAAAGCCAAAAAAGCCAUGGAAGACGCUGAAGCAGAUCUUAAAGAAAGAAUUUCAAAGGCAAUCCGUACAAAAAAACAGGAAGAACGUGAAACAGAAUUUUCCGGCGCCAUUGACAAAUGUACAACUGAUCUUAUGGUGAAAGGUACAGGAGGUUUGGUAAUCGGUACCUUGGCUUCUAUUUUGAUUGUGCGGCGUCGUGUCUUUCCUAUCAUUUUAGGAUUAGGAUUUGGAGUGGGUAUGGCUACAGAGGCAUGUAUCACCAAAAUGAACGCGGUGCCAGCUAGAUCUCGCCGCUAAAGAUAUUCGUACUGCUUGUUCCAGUAGCUGCCGUUUGGAUGAAUAAAUAAAUACUUAAAUUAUAUUAUUCCCAAUAUCAAAGUUCAAAUUUUUAUGUCGCUGUGGUGUCGUAAAUUUUUCUGUCCUAUUUCAGUUUGGUAAUAAUCAAAUACUGGAUAAAUUGUUAUGCAAAAUAUUUUUAUUUCUAAUAAAGUUUUUAUGAUUAACACACAUGUU